rnacentral:rRNA from 1 species
GAAUCUUCCACAAUGGACGAAAGCCCGCUCCACCCACGCCGCGUGUGUGAAGAAGAUCUUCGGCUUGUAAAGCACCUUAAGCAGGGGGGAAGGGCAGUAAGCGAGUACCUUGCUGAUUUUACGUUACCGACAGAAUAAGCACCGGCGCACUCAGUGGCAGCAGCCGCGGUAAUACAGAGGGUGCAAGCGUUAAACGGAAUUACUGGGCGUAAAGCGCGCGUAGGUGGUACAUUAAGUUGGAAGUGAAAGCCCCGGGCUCAACCUGGGAACUGCAUCGAAAACUGGCGAGCUAGAGUAGGGCAGAGGGUGGUGGAAUUUCCUGUGUAGCGGUGAAGUGCGUAGAUAUAGGAAGGAACACCAGUGGCGAAGGCGACCACCUGGGCUCAUACUGACACUGAGGUGCGAAAGCGUGGGGAGCAAACA